AUUGAACGCUGGCGGAAUGCUUUACACAUGCAAGUCGAACGGCAGCACGGACUUCGGUCUGGUGGCGAGUGGCGAACGGGUGAGUAAUGUAUCGGAACGUGCCCAGUCGUGGGGGAUAACGUAGGGAAAAUUACGCUAAUACCGCAUACGAUCUAUGGAUGAAAGCGGGGGAUCGCAAGACCUCGCGCGAUUGGAGCGGCCGAUAGCAGAUUAGGUAGUUGGUGGGGUAAAGGCCCACCAAGCCAACGAUCUGUAGCUGGUCUGAGAGGACGACCAGCCACACUUGAACUGAGACACGGACCAGACUCCUACGGGAGGCAGCAGUGGGGAAUUUUGGACAAUGGGCGAAAGCCUGAUCCAGCCAUUCCGCGUGCAGGAUGAAGGCCCUCGGGUUGUAAACUGCUUUUGUACAGAACGAAAAGGUUUCUACUAAUACUAGGAGCUCAUGACGGUACUGUAAGAAUAAGCACCGGCUAACUACGUGCCAGCCGCCGCCCUGU
rnacentral:rRNA from 1 species